GGCAGAUUCAAAGCUUCCCGAUCAGCAGGCCGGACAUGAAAAGGGAACAACCAUUACUUUGGCUGCUCAAGCAGGAGCGAAUGUCGUAUUUGAAUC
rnacentral:ncRNA from 1 species